rnacentral:rRNA from 1 species
UACGAAGGGGGCUAGCGUUGCUCGGAAUCACUGGGCGUAAAGGGUGCGUAGGCGGGUCUUUAAGUCAGGGGUGAAAUCCUGGAGCUCAACUCCAGAACUGCCUUUGAUACUGAAGAUCUUGAGUCCGGGAGAGGUGAGUGGAACUGCGAGUGUAGAGGUGAAAUUCGUAGAUAUUCGCAAGAACACCAGUGGCGAAGGCGGCUUACUGGUCCGGAACUGACGCUGAGGUGCGAAAGCGUGGGGAGCAAACAGGG